rnacentral:rRNA from 1 species
GAUUGCUAGCCGUUGGGCAGCUUGCUGUUCAGUGGCGCAGCUAACGCAUUAAGCAAUCCGCCUGGGGAGUACGNCCGCAAGGUUGAAACUCAAAGGAAUUGAACGGGGGCCCGCACAAGCCGGUGGAGCAUGUGGUUUAAUUCGACGCAACGCGCAGAACCUUACCCAGGGUUUGACAUCCUGCGACCGCCUCCUAAUAGGGGUUUUCCCGCAAGGGACGCAGAGACAGGUGCUGCAUGGCUGUCGUCAGCUCGUGUCGUGAGAUGUUGGGUUAAGUCCCGCAACGAGCGCAACCCUCGCCUUUAGUUGCCAUCAUUCAGUUGGGCACUCUAGGGGGACCGCCGGCGACAAGCCGGAGGAAGGUGGGGAUGACGUCAAGUCCUCAUGGCCCUUACANCCCUGGGCUACACACGUGCUACAAUGGCGGUGACAGUGGGCAGCUACUUCGCGAGAAGCGGCUAAUCCCAAAAAACCGUCCCAGUUCAGAUUGUACUCUGCAACUCGAGUACAUGAAGGUGGAAUCGCUAGUAAUCGCAGAACAGCAGGCUGCGGUGAAUACGUUCCCGGGCCUUGUACACACCGCCCGUCACGGCAUGGGAGUUGGUUCUACCUUAAGACGGUGCGCUAACCCGCAAGGGAGGCAGCCGGCCACGGUAGGAUCAGCGACUGGGCCGAAGUCGUAACAAGGUACC